GGAGAGAUGGCUCAGAGGCUAAGAGUACUGGCUGUUCUUCCAGAGGACCUGGGUUCAAUUCCCAGUACCA
rnacentral:tRNA from 1 species